rnacentral:lncRNA from 1 species
UUUAAAAUGAGUUUUUAUUCUCUUCUUUCUUUUUUUUUUUUAACUUUUAUUUUCUGUAAGAUAUUCCAUUGUCCAUGGGUAGGCUUCAGGGAAACUUUCAGCUUUUCCCUGCUGCAGACAAGGAAUCGAUGGACACGUUAUACAGGAUGCCAGAGCUGUGUCUGCCUUAGUGUCUAUAGCAUCAGGCUGCGUCUUGGGAGUUAUUUGCAAAGGGAGCAAUGACAGGAACCUCAGAAGGUCUUUGUACACCCAACUGACCCAAGAGGAUCAAAGUCUACGAAACUGUGACCUCAGCUCUAACCCAAGAUGCUGGUGAGGGCCCUCUGGCUACUUGACAACAUGGCUGAUGGCAUCAUGGCAGGAGCACAUAUGAGGAUGAAGAAGAGAUCACAUAGUGAAACAGGAAGCCGGAGACUGGGGAGAGGCCCUGGUAAAACUGAUGGACCUGCAGAAGAAACAAGACCCUUGAUUUUGGCCAGGAGUGUAUGCAGAAGGGAAGUCACAAGACAUUUUGAGAGACAGAUCAGCACAGUCAUCUAA